GGGGCUGAUUCUGGAUUCGACGGGAUUUGCGAAACCCAAGGUGCAUGCCGAGGGGCGGUUGGCCUCGUAAAAAGCCGCAAAAAAUAGUCGCAAACGACGAAAACUACGCUUUAGCAGCUUAAUAACCUGCUUAGAGCCCUCUCUCCCUAGCCUCCGCUCUUAGGACGGGGAUCAAGAGAGGUCAAACCCAAAAGAGAUCGCGUGGAAGCCCUGCCUGGGGUUGAAGCGUUAAAACUUAAUCAGGCUAGUUUGUUAGUGGCGUGUCCGUCCGCAGCUGGCAAGCGAAUGUAAAGACUGACUAAGCAUGUAGUACCGAGGAUAUAGGAAUUUCGGACGCGGGUUCAACUCCCGCCAGCUCCACCA
rnacentral:tmRNA from 1 species